UACGUAGGUGGCAAGCGUUGUCCGGAAUUAUUGGGCGUAAAGCGCGCGCAGGUGGUUUCUUAAGUCUGAUGUGAAAGCCCACGGCUCAACCGUGGAGGGUCAUUGGAAACUGGGGAACUUGAGUGCAGGAGAGAAGAGUGGAAUUCCACGUGUAGCGGUGAAAUGCGUAGAGAUGUGGAGGAACACCGAUGGCGAAGGCGGGUCUCUGGGCCGAUACUGACGCUGAGGAGCGAAAGCGUGGGGAGCGAACAGG
rnacentral:rRNA from 1 species